AGAGUUUGAUCCUGGCUCAGAAUCAACGCUGGCGGCGUGCCUAACACAUGCAAGUCGAACGAGAAAGUGGAGCAAUCCAUGAGUAAAGUGGCGCACGGGUGAGUAACACGUGACUAACCUACCCUUGAGUGGGGGAUAACCUGGAGAAAUCCGGGCUAAUACCGCAUAACACCUACGGGUCAAAGGAGCAAUUCGCUUAAGGAGGGGGUCGCGGCAGAUUAGCUAGUUGGCGGGGUAAUGGCCCACCAAGGCGGUGAUCUGUAUCCGGCCUGAGAGGGCGCACGGACACACUGGAACUGAAACACGGUCCAGACUCCUACGGGAGGCAGCAGUGGGGAAUUUUGCGCAAUGGGGGAAACCCUGACGCAGCAACGCCGCGUGGGGGAUGAAGUCUCUUGGGACGUAAACUCCUUUCGACCGGGACGAUUAUGACGGUACCGGAAGAAGAAGCCCCGGCUAACUUCGUGCCAGCAGCCGCGGUAAUACGAGGGGGGCAAGCGUUGUUCGGAAUUAUUGGGCGUAAAGGGUGCGUAGGCGGUUCGGUAAGUCUUGUGUGAAAUCUUCGGGCUCAACUCGAAGUCUGCACUAGAAACUGCCGGGCUUGAGUGUGGGAGAGGUGAGUGGAAUUUCCGGUGUAGCGGUGAAAUGCGUAGAUAUCGGAAGGAACACCUGUGGCGAAAGCGGCUCACUGGACCAUAACUGACGCUGAUGCACGAAAGCUAGGGGAGCAAACAGGAUUAGAUACCCUAGUAGUCC
rnacentral:rRNA from 1 species